rnacentral:rRNA from 11 species
UAGGUUGAGAACCACUGUCCUAAAGGCACCAGAGCCUAUCUGAUCUUGGAAGGUAAGUCAGGUCAGUCCAGGUUAGUACUUGGAUGUGAGACUACCAAUGAAUACUAUGUGUGUAGGCUAU